GGGGGAACUUACAAACAGAAGCUUGGUCUUAGGCAGCUGGCUACAAGACAGGUAAAUCUCUGCACUGCAAUCGCCCAGACCCAGGAUGUGUAUCUUGAGGAAAAAGUAUCUAUACUCUGGAAGGAAUAUGUAGGUGGCUAUAAGCAUCACAGCCUAUGAUUUCUACAACAUUAUCAAGGGUUGUUUUGAGGGAAACUUACAAUGAAUAACUGUUCCUACAUAAACAGUAAUACAUCACCUAGACAUUUUGGAGGCAUUCCCAGACUUGGGGUUAGUCAGCAGAUUAGCAUUUAAAAUAAAGUCACUUAUGUCCCUACUAGUGCCUAAAAAGCAUUUAGAUCAAUGUCAGCAUAAAGGAGACUGGACUGCAAAACAGAACUGUGUGCAAAGGGAAUUUGUUGAAAUAAACAGGCUGCACCCUCUGGGACAGAGAAGCAUGGUCACCUGGGAAGGAGAGAAAAGGGAGCUUGGGUCACUCCAGUAUCAGCAGCCAGCUCAGAAAUGUAGACCUGCACAAAAUAAUACCCAGGCAGCUAUGAGAAUAUCUGUUGCAGCCAAGAGGGCACCCUGCCUUCUCUUUUCAUAUCCAGUGAAGACUGUCCCUCUCCGUGACACCAUGGCUGGAGGAAGUGGAUACACCGUGCCUGCUGCAUCUGAGGGCUGAAAUGCAAGAUCUUCAAAGUCUCCCUCUGAUGCCGAGCCGAGGCUGGACUGUACUGCCGCCAUCUCCGCUCACUGCAACCUCCCUGCCUGAUUCUCCUGCCUCAGCCUGCCGAGUGCCUGGGAUUGCAGGCGCGCGCCGCCACGCCUGACUGGUUUUUGUAUUUUUUGGUGGAGACGGGGUUUCGCGGUGUUGGCCGGGCUGGUCUCCAGCUCCUGACCGCGAGUGAUCUGCCCGCCUCAGCCUCCCGAGGUGCCGGGAUUGCAGACUGAGUCUCGCUCACUCAGUGCUCAAUGUUGCCCAGGCUGGAGUGCAGUGGCGUGAUCUCGGCUCGCUACAACCUUCACCUCCCAGCCGCCUGCCUUGGCCUCCCAAAGUGCCGAGAUUGCAGCCUCUGCCCGGCCGCCACCCCGUCUGGGAAGUGAGGAGCGUCUCUGCCCGGCCACCCAUCGUCUGAGAUGUGGGGAGCGCCUCUGCCCCGCCACCCAUCGUCUGGGAUGUGGGGAGCGCCUCUGCCCCGCCACGACCCCGUCUGGGAACUGAGGAGUGUCUCUGCCCGACCGCCACCCCGUCUGGGAGGUGAGGAGCGUCUCUGCCCGGCCGCCCUGUCUGAGAAGUGAGGAGCCCCUCCGCCCGGCAGCCACCCCAUCUGGGAAGUGAGGAGAGUCUCCGCCCGGCAGCCGCCCCGUCCGGGAGGUGGGGGGCAACUCCGCCUGGCCGACGCCCCGUCUGGGAGGUGGGGGGCGCCUCUGCCCGGCUGCCACCCCGUCUGGGAGGUGUACCCAACAGCUCAUUGAGAACGGGCCAGGAUGACGAUGGCGGUUUUGUCGAAUAGAAAAGGGGGAAAUGUGGGGAAAAGAAAGAUAAAUCAGAUUGUUACUGUGUCUGUGUAGAAAGAAGUAGACAGAGGAGACUCUAUUUUGUUCUGUACUAAGAAAAAUUCUUCUGCCUUGGGAAAAAAAAAUAAAGUUCUUUUAGUAAAUGUUUGAAAACUCUGAUAACUUGACAUAUAUAUAUAUAUAUAUAUAUAUAUAUAUAUAUAUAUAUAUACACACACACACACACAUAUACACACAUAUAUGAGAUGUGAGAUGUGCAUAUGUGGUGAAUAUGUGUGAAAGAGAGAUGCAUACCUCUCCAGUUCCCCUGAGUCUUUGAAUCAGAGGGCAUUCCAUUAACUCCAACACAAAUGCCAGUAGUUCUCACUCCCAUUUGUCUCACCAAACCUCCAACUAUCAUGUCCUGUAUUUCUAGGAGUCUCCAGGAGGUGUCUCCAUGUGCUGCUCCCAGUCCUGCUGGCCACGCCCUGCCCCACUGGUCAUCACAGUUCAUCCAGAUCCUCCUCUAAGAUACAAGAGAAUGACUCACUUCUUCCAGUUAGAUGUGGGAAACUUACACUUGUCCUAUGAGUUCUGGACUGUUUGUUCAGCUACUUACAAACGCCAUUUCGUUACAGCAGCCACGGGGAAGCAGUGGAUGAGAAGCAGGAAUAAUAUAGGCCAUUGUCAUCGGUAUUGCAAGAGUUGCAUAAGGCCCAAUUCAGUCUCUGCCCCAAAAGCUCAAGUCCAAACUUCAGAAUCUGGGAGGACAAGGAUUCAGGAAAUUUUGUCAGAACUAUGAGCUUUGAACUUUCACUUUUAUGGUGAGGGUCACAUUUGGUCUGAAUCAAUUAAUCCAUU